CGGUUGCCUCUGACGUCCGCAGCUUGUGUGUCAGAUAGGAGAUAAUAACUGUAACAGCUUCAUUGUUAAACUGGGAGAAUAAUGAGACGUUUUCUGAGGAAUUUGAGCUGAAGGUAAAAGUGUAACAAGGCGAAUGUUUGCUGUUCUCCAGGUGUGCUCCCAUGGCUGGAGGCAGAGGAGAGGAGGACUGCUGAGUGAGCACAGACGACAGCUAUUCUGUCUCUGCUAAACAUCUUCAAGGUCUUUGUGAGGCAUAAAUGGACAACAGGAGGUGCCUUCCCAGUGGAGACUCGUCUGGCUGCUCAGGGGUUUGCAGGUUUCAGCAUGUUGCAGCAGGGCUUGUUCCACUCGCUGUUCCUUUUUCCUAUGCAUAUACUUCUUUGAGACAUAACUUUAAAGAGGCAUAAGGCAUGGGAAAAUGGGGCUGCAGAGGUAUUCCACCCAACCGAGCUCAACCAGCAGCAUUCACUUCUGCAGCCACUUUCAUGUAAGCCUUCCAGCCUGACGUGAAACUGGAGUAAAAACUGAAAACAUUUAAACAUUAACAGAAAACAAAGUGCAUGUCUGCAAUUUGUUGACUCCAAUAACUGCUUUUCAUUUAUAGAAACAACCAUUUAUUAUGGCUCAGUUUGCUUUUGCUCACUUAUGAACGUGGAGUUGAUUGUUCUGCAUAAUCAUUCAUCUUGUCUUCUGCUUGUCUCUGACAUUGUUGCUUUAUUAUUGUAUUAAAUAAAGAACCUGUUUCUCUGAAAAUCC